ACCCAAUCAAUGUGACUUGCCGAGGUAUCGUUUCUUCCUUUAAAUUUGAUCCAUCUAUUUGAUUUUAUCUUUUCGGUUUUUAAUUUAUUUUGUAGCUGAGGAACUCUGGAGUCGAGGAGACUAACAUUUUGUGCUUUUUUUUUAAUUGAUGUAUUUGGUUUGCUACAGAUGACAGGCUGCCAAUUUAAACAGUUGUACCAUUAGUUUGAAUUAAAUGCAUCUUUGCCUUAGUUUCUUCCAGCUACAAAAAGGACCAUUGUUUAAUUUUAUUUUCUUUAAUGAUCGAUUACUGCCUGUAAAGUAACUUCUAAUCGUGCAGUCUGUUUCCUCUGAUUCCUUCAUGGAAGGUGCUACUUUGCUUUUCGUUAAUGAUGAUUUGUGGAUUAGUUAUUGUCCCUAUUCAUGCUUUAUGUUCUUGAUUGUUGAUGUUUCUCUUCUCUUUGAUAUGCUGCAUCCAAUAUAUUUGGUUUAAUUCUUAUAGUUUCAAUUUAAAUUAAUGAAAAAGUUUUGUUCUAAGGGAAUUUGAAUUUAUCAUUCAGUUGGAAAACCUCGAGUGUAGUAGUUUUCUAUCAGACAACCUUUAUUUUUGUUAAACCUUCUUUGCUCUGAAUUUUUAAAAUAGUGUUUACCCUCCUUGAGCUGUCUGCUUGGUUUUUAACUUUCGUUUUGAUAUCCUCUUCCUUGAGAAUAGAUUUGAUGCAAAGGUAAUGCUA
rnacentral:misc_RNA from 1 species